CAGGGUGAGAACUUCAGUACAUAACAGUCCCCAUCUUCAAAAAAGGGGGAAAGAAGACCCAGGUAACAACCAACAAGUGAGCACCGACAUCAAUACCAGGAAAGGUCCUAGAACAGAUAAUUCAACAGUCAGCCUAUGAGAUUUUAGAAAAGGAUGCUGUGAUUACUAAGACCCAGCAUGGGUUUCUCAAAAACUAAGUCAUGCCAGACAAAUCAUAUUUCUUCUUUUGAUAGAGUUACAAGCUUGGUGGAUUGGGGGAAUGCUGUGGACAUAGUGUAUCUUGGUUUCAGUAAGGCUUUUGACAAAGCCCACCCAUGAUAUUCUUAUGAGGAAGAUGGUAAAAUGUGGGUUGAAUUAGGUUAACAGGUGGAUUUGUAGCUGGUUGUAGCUGGUUGACUGACUGAAUGCUGGGUCUGGUGAGACACUUGCAUCUUUGCAUGUCUUGGCCUGUUCAAACUGCUCUGGGAAAGUUGGAACCUGCCUGAACCUUUUCCAACUGGUUUGGACUGGUUUGAACCUCUUGGACUGGAUCCAACUAGUAUGAACUGAUUCUAACCACUCUGGGCUGGUUCCAAGUGACAUAGACCUGUCUCAACUGGCCUGGACCUGUUCUAACCAGCUAGGGACAGUUUAAAAUGACCUGCACCUGCUCCAACUGGCCUGGACCUGCUGGAAGCUGUCUGGAACUGUUCAAACUGGCUUGGGCCGGAUCAAACCAGCCCAGACCUGUUUAAACCAGCUUGGACCGGCAGAAAGAGGCCUGUUGUUGUUGUUUAGUCAUUUAGUCGUGUCCGACUCUUAGUGACCCAGUGGACCAGAGCACGCCAGGCACUUCUGUUUUCCACUGCCUCCCGCAUUUUGGUCAAACUCAUGCUGGUAGUUUCGAGAACACUGUCCAACCAUCUCGUCCUCUGUCGUCCCCUUCUCCUUUUGCCCUCCAUCUUUCCCAACAUCAGGGUCUUUUCCAGGGAGUCUUCUCUUCUCAUGAGGUGGCCAAAGUAUUGGAGUCUCAGCGCAUGUUUGCAAUUUGGUCUCUGGUUCCUCUGCCUCUUCUAAAUCCAGCUUGCACUUCUGGGAGUUCUCGGUCCACAUACUGCUUGAGCCUACCAUGUAGAAUUUUAAGCAUAACCUUGUUAGCUUGUGAAAUGAGUGCAAUUGUGCGGUAGUUGGAACAUUCUUUGGCACUGCCCUUCUUUGGGAUUGGAAUGCAUAAUGUUGUUCUUCACAAUGCAUAAUGUUGUUCUUCUUCUGGUUGUUGUUUAGUCAUUUAGUCGUGUCUGACUGUUCAUGACCCCAUGGACCAGAGCACACCAGGCACUCCUGUCUUCCACUGUCUCCCGCAGUUUGGUCAAACUCAUGUUGAUCAACAUGAGAACACUGUCCAACCACCUCAUCCCCUUCUCCUUGUGCCCUCCAUCUUUCCCAGCAUCAGGGUCUUUUCCAGGGAGUCUUCUCUUCUCAUGAGGUGGCCAAAGUAUUGGAGCCUUAGCUUCAGGAUCUGUCCUUCCAGUGAGCACUCAGGCCUGAUUUCCUUCAGAAUGGAUAGGUUUGAUCUUCUUGCAAUCCACGGGACUCUCAAAAGUCUCCUCCAGCACCAUAAUUCAAAAGCAUCAAUUCUUCUGCAAUCAGCCUUCUUUAUGGUCCAGCUCUCACUUCCAUACAUCACUACUGGGAAAACCAUAGCUUUUACUAUACGGACCUUUGUUGGCAAGGUGAUAUCUCUGCUUUUUAAGAUGCUGUCUAGGUUUGUCAUUGCUUUUCUUCCAAGAAGCAGGCGUCUUUUAAUUUCGUGACUGAUGUCACCAUCUGCAGUGAUCAUGGAACCCAAGAAAGUAAAAUCUCUCACUACCUCCAUUUCUUCCCCUUCUAUUUGCCAGGAGGUGAUUCAUAGUGGCCAUGAGCUUAGUUUUUUUGAUGUUGAGCUUCAGACCAUAUUUUGAGCUCUCCUCUUUCACCCUCAUUAAAAGGUUCUUUAAUUCCUCCUCGCUUUCUGCCAUCAAGGUUGUGUCAUCUGCAUAUCUGAGGUUGUUGAUAUUUCUUCCGGCAAUCUUAAUUCUGGUUUGGGAUUCAUCCAGCCCAUCCUUUCGCAUGAUGAAUUCUGCAUAUAAGUUAAAUAAGCAGGGAAACAAUAUACAGCCUUGUCGUUCUCCUUUCCCAAUUUUGAACCAAUCAGUUGUUCUAUAUCCAGUUCUAACUGUAGCUUCUUGUCCCACAUAGAGAUUUCUCAGAAGACAGAUAAGGUGAUCAGGCACUCCAAUUUCUUUAAGAACUUGCCAUAGUUUGCUGUGGUUGACACAGUCAAAGGCUUUUGCAUAGUCAAUGAAGCAGGAGUAGAUGUCUUUCUGGAACUCUCUAGCUUUCUCCAUAAUCCAGCUCAUGGUCUCUGGUUCCUCUGCCACUUUGAAAUCCAGCUUGCACUUCUGGGAGUUCUCGGUCCACAUACUGCUUAAGCCUGCCUUGUAGAAUUUUAAGCAUAACCUUGAUAGCAUGUGAAAUGAGUGCAAUUGUGCGGUAGUUGGAGCAUUCUUUGGCACUGCCCUUCUUUGGGAUUGGAAUGUAAACUGAUCUUCUCCAAUCCUCUGGCCACUGCUGAGUUUUCAAAACUUGCUGGCAUAUUGAGUGUAGCACCUUAACAGCAUCAUCUUUUAAAAUUUUAAAUAGUUCAGCUGGAAUACCAUCACUUCCACUGGCCUUGUUAUUAGCAGUGCUUUCUAAGGUCCAUUUGACUUCACUCUCCAGGAUGUCUGGCUCAAGGUCAGCAAUCACACUACCUGGGGUGUACGAGCCAUCCAUAUCUUUCUGGUAUAAUUCCUCUGCGUAUUCUUGCCAACUCUUCUUGAUGUCUUCUGCUUCUGUUAGGUCCUUACCACUUUCGUCCUUUAUUAUGGUAAUCUUUGUACAAAAUGUUCCUUUCAUAUCUCCAAUUUUCUUGAACAGAUCUCUGGUUCUUCCCUUUCUGUUGUUUUCCUUUAUUUCUUUGCAUUGCUUGUUUAAGAAGGCCUUCUUGUCUCUCCUUGCUAUUUUUUUGGAAAUCUGCAUUCAAUUUCCUGUAUCUUUCACUAUCUCCCUUGCAUUUUGCUUGCCUUCUCUCCCUCGCUAUUUGUAAGGCCUCGUUGGACAGCCACUUUGCUUUCUUGCAUUUCCAUUUCAUUGGGAUGGUUUUCGUUGCUGCCUCCUGUAUAAUGUUGCAAGCCUCUAUCCAUAGUUCUUCAGGCACUCUGUCCACCAAAUCUAAAUCCUUAAACCUGUUCCUCACUUCCACUGUGUAUUCAUAAGGGAUUUGAUUUACCGUAUUUUUCGCCCUAUAGGACACACUUUUUCCCCUCCAAAAAUGAAGGGGAAAUGUGUGUGCGUCCAAUAGGGCGAAUGCAGGCUUUCGCUGAAGCCUGGAGAGUGAGAGGGGUCAGUGCGCACGGACGCCUCCCGCUCUCCAGGCUUCAGGAAGCUAUCCGCAAGCCUUUGGAGCCCGGCGGGAGUUCCCACCGGGCUCCCAAGGCUUGCAGACAGCAGCCUGCAGCCCGCACCCCGGGCUUCGGGCAGCUCUCCGCAAGCCUUGGGAGCCCAGCGCGACUUCCCGCGCUACAGCGCCGCGCUCCCUGGGCUUUGGAUAGCAGCAAGCUCCGGGAGCGAUGGCAAGGACCCGUUCUGGGGGCUGGGGUCAGGGGAAGCUCGGGCUUCCCCUGUCCCCAGCCUCGCAAGCUCCGGGAGCGAUGGCGAGGUUGCACAACCUCGCCUUCGCUCCCAGACCCAUUCUGGAGGCUGGGGUUGGGGGAAGCUCGGGCUUCCCCAGCCCCGCAAGCUCCGGGAGCGAUGGCGAGGUUGCGCAAAACGAAGGCUAAAAACAAAGCCAGGACCGCUAGCGGGAUCCAUCUUUGGCUUCUUUGCUCUUUGGGGCUUGGGGGGGGAUAUAAUCCCCCCCCUUUAUUUCCCCUCCCAAAAAAUAAGUGUGCCCUAUGGGCCGGUGCGCCCUAUAGGGCAAAAAAUACGGUAGAUUGUAUCUUACCGGCCCAGUGGUUUUUCCUACUUUCUUCAGUUUAAGCUUGAAUUUUGCUAUAAGAAGCUGAUGAUCUGUGCCACAGUCAGCUCCAGGUCUUGUUUUUGCUGACUGUAUAGAGCUUCUCCAUCUUUGGCUGCAGAGAAUGUAAUCAAUCUGAUUUUGAUGCUGCCCAUCUGGUGAUGUCUAUGUGUAGAGUCGUCUCUCGUGUUGUGGGAAAAAUGUGUUUGUGAUGACCAGCUUGUUCUCUUGACAGAACUCUAUUAGCCUUUGCCCUGCUUUGUUUUGAACUCCAAGGCCAAACUUGCCAGUUGUUCCUUUUAUCUCUUGACUCCCUACUUUAGCAUUCCAAUCCCCUAUAAUGAGAAGAAAAUCCUUCUUUGGUUUCACUUCUAUAAGGUGUUGUAAGUCUUCAUAGAACUGGUCAAUUUCUGUUUCUUCAGCACCAGUAGUUGGUGCAUAAACUUGGAUUACUGUGAUGUUAAAAGGUCUGCCUUGGAUUCAUAUCGAGAUCAUUCUAUCAUUUUUGAGAUUGCAUCCCAGUACAGCUCUUGCCACUCUUUUGUUGACUAUGAGGGCCACUCCAUUUCUUUUACGGGAUUCUUGCCCGAGUAGUAGAUAUGAUGGUCAUCCGAACUGAAUUCGCCCAUUCUCAUCCAUUUUAGUUCACUGAUGCCCAGGAUGUCAAUAUAUAUUCUUGCCAUCUCAUUUUUGACCACAUCCAACUUACCCAGGUUCAUGGUUCUUACAUUCCAGGUUCCUAUGCAAUAUUUUUCUUUACAGCAUUGGACUUUCCAUUCGCUUCCAGGUAUAUCCGCAACUGAGCAUCCUUUCGGCUUUGGCCCAGUCGCUUCAUCAGCUCUGAAUCUACUUGUACUUGUCCUCCGCUCUUCCCCUAUAGCAUGUUGGACGCCUUCCGACCUGAGGGGCUCAUCUUCCAGCAUCAUAACUUUUAUAUGCCUGUUCUCUUUGUCAAUGGAGUUUUCGUGGCAGGGAUACUGGAGUGGCUUGCCGGUUCCUCCUCCAGGUGGAUCACGUUUGGUCAAAACUCUCCACUAUGACCUGUCCAUCUUGGGUACAUAGUUCAUAGCUUCUCUGAGUUAUUCAAGCCCCUUCGCCACGGCAAGGCAGUGAUCCAUGAAGGGGGAAAGAGGCCUAGACCGCUUCAAACCAGCCUAGACCUGUGCAAACCCGCUUGAACCGGCAGAAACUGGCCUAGACCAGUUCAAACCAGUCUAGACAUUUCAAACCGGCUUGAACUGUCACAAACCAGCCACGACUGGUUCAAACUGGCUUGGACCAACACAAACCAGCCUAGACCAGUUCAAACUGGCCUAGACCAGUUGAAACCAGCUUGGACUGGCCCAAAUUGGCUUGGACCAGUUCAAACUGGUCUGGGCAAGUUUGAACCAGCCUGAACCUUUUCCAACUGGUUUGGGCUGGUUCCAACUGGCUUGGGCUGCUCAAAGCUGUCUGGAACUGUUCCAACUGACUUGGGUCGGCUCAAACCAGCUUGGGUCAGCACAAACAGGCCCAGACCGGUGAAAACCAGCCUAGACCGGUUCAAAUUGGCUUGAACCGGCAUAAACCGGCCUAGACCGGUUCAAACUGGCUUGAACUGGCAUAAACUGGCCUUGACCAGUUCAAACCGGCAUCGACUGGUUCAAACCGGCCUAGACCUGUUCAAACCAAUCUGAGCUAGUUCCAACCAGUAUGGACCAGUUCCAACCGCUCUGGGCUGGUUCCAAGUGACAUAGACCUGUUCCAACCGGCCUGGAUCUGCUCAAAGCUGUCUGGUACUGUUCCAACUGGCUUGGGUCGGCUCAAACCAGCCUAGACCUGUUCAAACCGACUUGGACCGGCACAAACCGGCCUAGACUGGUUCAAACCGGCAUCGGCUGGUUCAAACGGACCUAGACCUGUUCAAACCGGCUUGAACCGGCAUCAACUGGCCUAGAAAGGUUCAAACUGGUUUGGAGCAGCAGAAACCAGCCUCGACCAGUUCAAACCAGCCUAGACCUGUUCAAACUGGCUUGGACCAACUUCCAGUAAUGGCAGACGGGAGCUAUUUCGGCUGAAAAAAUCCUCAGACCAAGCGUUCUGAGGAUCUGGUGUUUCGGUGGGUGCCUUCUGGCAACUCCCCCAGUCCCCAGUAAGCUCUUAAAGAGCCCCAAGAGCGAGUGGGGUUGGAGACACGUCAUAGCAGAAACAACUCACUUCCUUCACAGUGCAAAGCUCCGAGUCUGGUGAUCGUGAGCGGUCAAUUCCUCCAAAAAAAAGGACACACAAAAAACCGGAACUGUGAGUAAAAGACAAAGUUUAAAUCAGGCUAUUUUGGGGACACAAAGGGAUUUAAAAACGGAGGUUGAUCCCUUUCGCUGAAUUAAAGGAGAAUCGGUUAUCGUGGACCAAAGCCUUAAUUGGGAAUAAGACUGGUAGAAAGUUUGCAAGCCAACCUCAAAACCCCUCUUCUGCAGGGGGAAGGGGGGGUGAAUUUUUUUGACUUUAAGAACCCUGCGAAACUGAGCACUGACAGUAUUUUGGGGGGAGCUCCAUUUGAGGAGUAAAAGGGGGUAAAUGGAAAUUUGGGAAAGGAGAUAUUGCUGACUUUUAUAUUGAGGCUCGUGGAGGGAAUCUGUCUGCCUCCUUAUCUCCCCCUUGUGACUGAGACUGACCUUGGAUGGGGCCGCUAGGGGCGCCUUGGAAGAUGGCAGAUAUUAACAUCUAUCCAGCUUGCACGAGGUAAUUAGAGGCUGAUUAUGGGGAGUAUAUCAGUCUCCCUUCAUCUCUCCAGGGGGGAGAGAUGCUGUUUUCACCCGCUGUUGCCAUAAAUCACCCCCAUGUUCAGAAGCAGGAGGGGGUGAGGCACUGAGUGCACAACCCUCGGCGGGCCACGGAACUCCUCCGAAACUGCUUCCAGGUGCGAAACUAGUUGCGUUACUUAAAAGGGAAAAAAUUGGGAAAGAUAACGCACAUGCUUCAAGAGAGGCAGGAGGUUUUUAUCUGCUAAUAAUUUUACCACUGAAAGGAAGAAGACUGAGACGGACCGAAAUGGAAUAUUACAUCAAAGCACUACAAAUAUGGUAUGUGGAUUGGAAUGCCGGAACUAAGGGGGGGGGACGACUUUUUAUUUCUUUUGCUCUAUGUGAUUACUAAUAACCCUCCCUCUGAAGAUCCGUCACAGAAAUUAAUUGCAAAUGGGACUAAAAAUGAAUUGUGUGGGAAUAAUUAUGAACUUAAAGGUUUUACUCUGUGAAGGAUUUGGAAAGAAGAAGGGCUCUCUCUUGUGACGCAGUAAGAAUGGAGACUUGAUAAGAGACCUGUGUUGCUGGAGUUGGUCUUGGGGAGGGCGAGCUGAAGAUAUAUUAUUUUCGAGGAGAUUGCGAACUGGAAGGGGCAGCCCUCCUGGAAAAAGACUAAUUUACGAUGCAACAGGUCGGAAAAGCUAAAGAGCGAGUUUCUAGACUGUAUUUCAUCGGAAUGACAAAAAUGGCGAUUACUUGCUCGAGCGGAAAGGACUGUUGGAGGAGAGUGAUUUACGAGAGAGCAGCACAAAGCCCACACAGAAAUACAAAUAAGACUGUCUUUUUCAACCCACUUGCGGAGCAUAUCGGAGGAAAAUGGAAAGGAAAAUGAGUAAUGACAAGUAUUGAGAAGAGGAGACUGGAAACAUCAUUCUUAAUAUGGAAGCAGAACAAAUAUUUGAGGAUUGGACUCCUGCCAAUCAAGAAGCAUUGGUAUCCCCCACAAAAAUUUAUAAUUUGGAAAACAAUUGGAUUAUAUGAUAUGUAUUGUUAUAAUUUGGACUAAUUGAUUUGAUGUGUUUAAUUUGGAAAUAUGAAACUUAAUAAAAAUUAUUUUUUAAAAAAGAGAGAGACUGACCUUGGAUAAAAAAUAAAAAGCCAUGGAUGGGGGAGAGAAAGGAGAAAAGGCAGAGAAAACAAAGCAAAGGAGGGGCUCUAAGGCUCCAACUUUUGAAGAGUCUGUGAUGCAACUGCUACAGGAAAUUAAAACAGAAGUAAGAGGCAAUCAACAGACCAUACAGGAAUUAAAAAAAGACUUUGCAGAUUUAAGACAAGAGUUGAAAGGAGUUAAGACAGAUAUGCCUGUUGUCUUUGUCCAUGGAGUUUUCUUGGCAGGGAUACUGGAGUGGCUUGCCGGUUCCUCCUCUAGGUGGAUCACGUUUGGUUAAAACUCUCCACUAUGACCUGUCCAUCUUGGAUGCCCUGCUUGGCAUAGUUCAUAGCUUCUCUGAGUUUUUCAAGCCCCUUCGCCACGGCAUGGCAGUGAUCCAUGAAGGGGAAGCAGUGAUCCAUGAAGGGUCCAUGAAGCUGAGGCUCCAAUACUUUGGCCACCUCAUGAGAAGAGAAGACUCCCUGGAAAAGACCCUGAUGUUGGGAAAGAUGGAGGGCACAAGGAGAAGGGGAUGACAGAGGACGAGAUGGUUGGACAGUGUUCUCGAGGCUACCAGCAUGAGUUUGACCAAACUGCAGGAGGCAGUGGAAGACAGGAGUGCCUGGUGUGCUCUGGUCCAUGGGGUCACGAAGAGUCGGACACGACUAAACAACAACAAGACAGAUAUAUCAGGUCAUGAACUAAGAUUGACGCAACUGGAAACUGUGAGAGUUUCUGACCUGGAGAGAACACAGCAAGAAGCCUCAAAUUCAAUUGCAUUUCUACAGUUGAAAGAGAGGGAAAGCCAUUUGAGACUGAGAAGGGUACCACAGAAAGAGCAGGACAAUUUGAAGGACUGGCUAAUUGAUGAAUUUUCAGCUUGUGGGGAUCUUCCAGGCAGCCCUGUUCAGGGAAGCUUUUAAUCUGUGAUAUUUUACUGUAUUUUUUUGUUUCUAUGGAAGCCGCCCAGAGUGGCUGGGGAAACCCAGCCAGAUGGGCGGGGUACAAAUAAUAAAUUAUUAUUAUUAUUAUUAUUCCAAAAGAAGAAGGAAACUCCUGGAUUGAUAAGGCCUAUAGAUUUGGAGCAAAAAAGGACUGUAAGAUUACACAUGACUGUAUGGUAAUUUUUAAGACCAAAGAGCAAAGAGAUAUUAUUUUAGGCCACCACUACAAAAAAAGUUUAAAGAUUGAGGACAAAUUGAUUAUUUUGUUUAAAGAGAUCCUGAACAUUUUUUGGCCCUGAGAAAUAACUACACAGAAUUGGCCAGUGCUCUAAGAAGGAAAAACAUCUUUUUUAGGUGGGAGUUCCUGGAAGGUCUCUCUUUCAAAUUUCAAGGGAGAAAGCAAAGAAUUAGGACUGUUGGGGAGAAAGAGAGAUUCUUGGAGAAAAACGCAAAUGAAUGAUGAGUUGUUGAGGAAUGAACAGAUUAUUACUAAGGCCCAAACGACUCUAAAAGAUUACUUUGAAAUAAAUAUGAACACAGAGGUGGAAACAAGAGUCAUUUGGGACGCAGGUAAGGCUGUAAUGAGAGGUUUCCUCAUACAACAAAAUUCAAUAAAGAAAAAGAUACAGAAUGAGAAAAAAGAAAACAUUCUGUCUGAAAUAAAAGAUAAAGAGAAGAGUUUAAGAUCAAUGCCUAAGAGUCAACUGAUUCAAAAAGAAAUUAAAGCUUUACAGAUCCAAUUUUCUCAAAUUAUUAAUAAAGAAAUAGAAUGGAAAAUAAAAAUGAUGAAACAGAGAAAUUUUGAAUCUGCAAAUAAAUGUGGGAAAUUGUUGGCUUGGCAAUUAAAAAAGACAAAUAUUGUAUCUGAAGGAAAAUCUGUGGGAAACCAUGCAGAUAUAAGAAAAUGUUUUCAGAAAUAUUUUAAACAGCUGUAUAAAAAAGGUAAAGAAGAUAAAGAUAAAAUUGAGCAAUUUCUUAAAGUAAAUGAAAUGCAAAAAAAUCCCAAGUAUAAAAGGUUCCUACUUAAUGGUAUGAUUACAAGACAGGAGGUUGAGAUAGCAAUAAAUCAGAUGCAGCUAGGCAAAGCCCCAGGACCAGAUGGUCUUUCUGCAAAAUAUUAUAAAACUUUGAAAGAUUGGUUAAUCCAGCUGUUAGCAGAUGUGUGCAAUAAGAUUCUAAGAGGGGACAAAGCACCUGAAACUUGGAAAGAUGCGUUUAUAACUCUGAUUCCAAAAUCAGAACAAGAUAGAUCUGAUGUGAAAAACUACAGACCGAUUUCAUUACUCAAUGUGGAUUAUAAAAUUUUUGCAAAUAUAUUGGCCAACAGAUUGAAAAAGGUUUUAACAGAUUAUAUUCAUAAGGACCAGGCAGGCUUUCUGCCUGGGAGACAAAUGAAAGAUAAUAUUAGGAAUAUAAUUGAUGUAUUAGAAAGGUUGGAAGUCAAAAGAAAUUGCAAAGCAAUGUUAAUGUUCAUAGAUGCUGAGAAGGCCUUUGACAAUGUUUCUUGUUUUUUUAUGAGUUUUUAUGAGGUUUUUUUUUAGAAAGAAUAGAGUUUGGAAGCCUUACCAAUUACCAAAACCAUUUGAACAAAUUAAAGAUAAAGUGAAUUGGCUACAAUAUUAUCAAAUUAAUGAAUUAUAUAAGAUUGAUAGGAGAAAUGGAGGAAAAACCAAAUUGGAAACGGAGUUGUUAGACACCAAAGUUAAGAAUACCGUAUUUCUCACCCUAUAGGGUGCACCGGCCCAUAGGGCGCACCUAGGUUUUUUUGGGGGGGAAGCCCGAGCUUCCCCCAACCCCAACCCCCAGAACAGGCUGCUAUUCGCAAGCCUUGGGAGCCUGGUGGGAACUCCUGCCGAUCUCCCCAGGCUUGCGGAUAUCUGCCUGAAGCCCGGGGCGCGCUGCUGACUGAUUUGGAAACACUACACUAUGAAAAUUCAAAUUUGAUUGCAUUUCUUCAGAUGAGGGAACGGGAAUCUCAUUUAAGAUUGAGAGGUGUGCCACAACAGGAAGAGGAUUGACUCAGGGAGUGGAUGAUAGAUCAAUUUGUGGCGUGGUGGGAUUUGAAAAAAGACAAAGUUGAUUCUUGGAUAGAAAAGGCCUAUAGAUUCGGUCCCAAAAAAGAUUCAAAAAUUACCUAUGACUGUAUAGUGGUCUUUAAGACCAAACCGAUACCACUUUGGGACUGCACUAAAAAAAAAGGUUUUAAAAAUCCAGGAUAAAGCCAUCGUCCUUUUUAAAGAGAUUCCUAAACACUUUUUGAGCCUGAGAUCCAAUUACACAGAAUUGACAAGAAUUCUGAGGGAAAAUGUUUUUUUCAGGUGGGAAUUCCCGGAGGGUCUUUCCUUCAAAUUCGGAGGAAGAAAGCAAAGAAUUAAGAUGGUUGGAGAGAAAGACAGAUUUCUGCAAAAGAACUCGGACUGGACUGAACUUGGACUGGAAAGCCCACAGUUGCCAGGGGCGGGAGCAGCGACCCCUUAAUUUACCAUCAUGGCUUUGAGAAUUUAUUCUUGGAAUGUAAAUGUCUUUAAUUCCCCUCAGAAAAGUAUGCAGGUUUAUCAUGCUUUGGCAAAGCAGAAUUUGGACGUAAUUUGUUUACAGGAAACACACAUUACAAGAUUCCAUAGAAAAAUCUUAUUGAAUAAGAAGCUUGGCCAAGAAUUUAUUUCUUCGGACAAAGUGAAAAAAAGAGGAAUGGUUUUCUAUGUUAAGGAAAAAUGGAAUCCAAAAUUGAUUUUUAAAGAUGAGGAGGGAAGAUACAUUGCAGUGGAAAUCACAGCACAAGGCGAAAAAUACUUGUUAUUGGGAAUCUAUGCACCAAAUGAUGGCAAAGCUGAAUUCGUUAAGAACUUGGAAACGAGUCUUUUGGAACAUUUGGAUUAUAAAUUAAUUUUAAUGGGAGAUCUGAAUGGAGUGGCAUCUACUUUAAUGGAUAGAACUCAGAGACAGAAAAUAUUGAAUGCUGGCAGACUACCUAAGACUUUUUUUGAAAUAACUGACAAAUUUGAUCUGUCAGACAUAUGGAGAGGCAGAAAUCCAACUGAAAAAGACUUCACAUUUUAUUCAGAUGCAAAUCAAUAAUUCUCGAGAACUAUUUAUGGAUAUCCAGAGACUUGGUUCCUAAAGUCUCAAAAAGGGAAAUUUGCCCUAAAACUUGCUGAGACCAUAAUGCAGUUUUUAUGGAAGUUAAAAUGUCCUUACAGGGAUCUUUCAAGUGGAGAAUGAAUGAUGAUUUGUUGAGGAGCGAGCAAAUUGUAAAUAAGGCCCAAAAAGCCCUAAAGGACUAUUUUGAGAUUAAUAUGAACCAGGGAGUGGAAACAAGGGUUAUUUGGGACGCCAGCAAAGCAGUAAUGAGAGGAUUCCUCAUUCAACAAACUUCAAUUAGGAGAAAGAUACAGAAUGGGGGAAAAAAAUCUUGGAGCAACUAAAAGAUAAAGAAAAGAUUCUUAGAAGCAAUCCAAAGAAUUUGCAGAUACAAAAGGAAAUUAAAGUUUUACAGACCAUUAUUCACAUAUUAUCAAUCAAGAAAUAGAAUGGAAAUUAAGGAUGAUGAGACAAAGGAACUUUGAAUCUGCAAAUAAAUGUGGGAAACUUUUAGCUUGACAACUAAAAAAGAGGCAAAAACAAAGUACUAUUACAAAUAUUGUAUCGGAAGGAAAUUCUGUAGAGAACCCUGUGGACAUAAGAAGAUGCUUUCAGAAAUAUUAUAAACAACUGGUCCAAACUGGUUUAAACAGGUCUAGGCUGGUUUGAUCCAGCCCAAGCCAGUUUGAACAAUUCCAGAUAGCCUCGAGCAGGUCCAGGCCAGUUAGAGCAGUUGUAGGUCAUUUGAAACUGGCUCAAGCUGGUUAGAACGGGUCCAGGCGGGUUGGAACAGGUCUAUGUCGCUUGGAACCAGCCCAGACUGGUUAGAACCAGUUGAUACCAGUUGGAUCCAGUCCAAGCUGGUUCAAACCAGCCCAAACCAGUUGGGAAAGGUUCUGGUGGGUUGCAACUUGCCCAGACAAGUUUGAACUGGCCAAGACUGGUUGGAACUAGCUCAGACUGGUUGCAACAGGUCUAGGCUGGUUUGAACCGGUCAAAGCCGAUUUGUGCUGGUCCAAGUCUGGUUUCAACUGGUCUAGGCCUGUUUGAACUGGUCUAGGCUGGUUUGAACCAGCCCAAGCCAGUUUGAACAGUUCCAAGUGGGUUGGAACUUGCCCAGACAGGUUGGAGCAGGUCCAGGCCAGUUGGAGCAGGUGUAGGUCAUUUGAAACUGGCCCAAACUGGUUGGAACAGGUCUAGACCGGUUUGAACCGGUCCAAGCUGGUUUGAAAUGGUGUAGGCCGGUUUGUGCUGGUCCAAGCCAGUUUCUGCUGGUCCAAGCCAGUUUGAACUGGCCAAAGCCAAUUUGAACAUGUCCAAGUGGAUGGGGACUGGCCCAGACAGGUUGGAGCAGGUCCAGGCCAAUUGGAACAGCUGCAGGUGGUUUGAAACUGGCCCAAGCUGGUUAGAAAAGAUCCAGGCCGGUUGGAACAGGUCUAUGUCACUUUGAAACAGCCCAGACCAGUUGAAAAAAGUUCAUACCAGUUGGAUCCGGUCCAAGCUAGUUGGAACCAGCACAAACCAGUUGGGCGGGUUCCAACUUGCCCAGACCAGCUUGAACUGGUCCAGACUGGUAGGAACAGGUCUAUGUUGGUUUGAACCGCUCCAAGCCGGUUUGAAGCUGUUCAGACUGGUUUGAACCAGUCCAAGCUGGUUUGAACCGGUCGAGGCCGGUUUGAACCAGUCUUGGCCAGUUUCAACCGGUCUAGGCCACUUUGAACUGAAACGGUCCAAGUCGCUUGAAACAGGUCCAAGUCAGUUGGAACAGUCUAGGCCGGUUUGAACCGGUCUAGGCCAGUUUGUGCCAUUUCAAGCCAGUGUGAACCGGUCUUGGCCGGGUUGAACAUGUCUAGGUCAGGUUGAACCAGCCCAAGCCAGUUUGAACAGUUCCAAGUGGGUUGGAACUGGCUCAAACAGGUUGGAGCAGGUCCAGGCCAGUUGGAGCAGGUGCAGGUCAUUUAAAACUGGCCCAAGCUAGUUGGAACAGGUCCAGGCUGGUUGGAACAAGUUCAUACCAGUUGGAUCCGGUCCAAGCCGAUUGGAACCAGCACAAACCAGUUGGAAAAGGUCCCGGGGGGUUCCAACUUGUCCAGACCAGUUUAAACUGUUCCAGACUGGUUGGAACAGGUCUAGGUUGGUUUGAACCGCUCCAAGCCGGUUGGAAGCUGUUCAGACCGGUUUGAACCAGUCCAAGCUGGUUCGAACCCAAUGAGGCUGGUUUGAACUGCCCCAAGCCAGUUUGAACAGUUCCAAGUGGGUUGGAACUGGCCCAGACAGGUUGGAGCAGGUCCAGGCCAGUUGGAGCAGGUGCAGGUCAUUUGAAACUGGCCCAAGCUGGUUGGAACAGGUCCAAGCCAGUUUGAACAAGUCUAGGCCGGGUUGAGCCGGUCUAAGCUGGUUUGAACCGGUAUAGGCUUGUUUGAACUGGUCUAGGCCAGUUUGUGCUGGUCCAAGCCAGUUUGAACCGGCCCAAGCUAGUUUGAACAGGUCCAAGUGGACUGGAACCGGCCCAGACAGGUUGGAGCAGGUCCCGGCCAGUUGGAGCAGGUGCAGGUGGUUUGAAACUGGCCCAAGCUGGUUAGAACAGGUCCAGGCCGGACGGAACAGGUCUAUGUCACUUGGAACCAGCCCAGACCGGUUAGAACCAGUUCAUACUAGUUGGAUCCAGUCCAAGCUGGUUCAAACCAGCCCAAACCAGUUGGAAAAGGUUCUGGUGGGUUGCAACUUGCCCAGACAAGUUUGAACUGGCCAAGACUGGUUGGAACUAGCUCAGACUGGUUGCAACCGGUCUAGGCUGGUGUGAACCAGUCAAAUCCGAUUUGUGCCGGUCCAAGCUGGUUUCAACUGGUCUAGGCCUGUUUGAACCGGUCUAGGCCGGUUUGAGCAGUUCCAAGCUGGUUUGAACAAGUCUAGGCCAGUUUGAGAAGGUCCAAGAGGGAUUGAACCAGCUCAAAUCAGAUGGGAAAAGUCCAGGCGGGUUCUAACUUGCCCAGACCAGUUUGAAAUGGCCCAGACUGGUUGGAACUUGCUCAGACAGGUUUGUACCGGUCUAGGCCGGUUUGAAAAGUUCCAAGUGGGUUGGAACUGGCCCAGACAGGUUGGAGCAGGUCCAGGCCAGUUGGAGCUGGUGCCGGUCAUUUGAAACUGGUCCAAGCUGGUUAGAACAGGUCCAGGCCAGUUAGAACAAGUUCAUACCAGUUGGGUCCAGUCCAAGUCGGUUGGAACCAGCCCAAACCAGUUGGAAAAGGUUCUGGCAGGUUCCAACUUGCCCAGACCAUUUUGAACUGGACUGCCCAGACUGGUUUGAACUAACUCAGACUGCUUGGAACAGGUCUAGGCUGGUUUGUGGCGGUCCAAGCCAGUUUGAACCGGCCCAAGCCAGUUUGAACAGUUUGAGGCCGCUUAGAACAGUUCUGUGUCACUUGGAAGCAGCCCUGACCUGUAGGAACCAGCCCAAACCAGUUAGAAAAGGUCCAGGGGGGUUCUAACUUGCCCAGACUAGUUUGAACUAGCCCAAAGUGGUUGGAACUAGCUUACACAGGAACAGGUCUAGACUGUUUUGAACCAGUCCAAGCAGGUUGGAACAGGUCUAAGCCAGUUGGAUCCUUUUCAGACCGGGUGGAACCAGUCCAAGUCGGUUUGAACAGAUCUAGGCCUGUUUGAAACGGAUAAGGCCGGUUUGUACCGGUCCAAGCCGGUUUGAACAGGACUAGGCCAGUUUGUGCCGGUCCAAAGUUUGAACUGGCCCAGACUGGUUGGAACUAGCUCAAACUGCUUGGAACAGGUCCAGGUCGGUUGGAACAGGAGUAUGUCUCUUGGAACCAGCCCAGACCUGUUGGAAACAGUUGAUAACGGUUAGAUCCGAUCCAAGCUGGUUGGAACCAGACCAAACGAACUGAAAAAGUCCAGGCGGGUUCCAACUUGCCCAGACCGGUAUGAACUGGCCCAGAUUGGUUGGAACAGGGCCAAGCCGGUUGGAACAGGUUUAUGUCACUUGGAACCAGCCCAGACCUGUGGGAACCAGGUUCUACCAGUUGGAUCCGCUACAAGCCGGUAGGAACCAGCCCAAACCAGUUUGAAAAAGUCAAGACAGAGUCCAACUUCCCCAGACCGGUUUGAAGUGGUUGGAACAGGUCUAGGCUGGUUUGAACCAGUCGAAGCUGAGUGCAACAGGUCCAAGCCGAUUAGAACCGGUCCAAGCCAGUUUGAACCAGCUCAAACUAUUUGCAAAAGGUUCAGGAGGGUUGGAACUGGCCCAGACUGGUUGUAACCGGUCUGGGCCCAUUUGAAUCGGUCCAAGCCAGUUUGAACUGAUCAAGUUCUCCGAUAAAGAAAACAAUGCCCGACCUGAAGAAUUUGGAGCAAAUGAUUCAGCAGAGGAAACACAGCCCAGAAUAACUAAGGAGAUAGUACAAGAAUACUUGGCUAGUUUAGAUGUAUUCAAGUCUCCAGGGCCAGAUGAACUGCAUCCAAGAGUAUUAAAAGAACUGGCAGAUGUGAUCUCAGAACCACUGGCAGUCAUCUUUGAGAAUUCCUGGAGAACAGGCGAAGUCCCGGCAGACUGGAGGAGGGCAAAUGUUGUCCCUAUUUUCAAAAAGGGGAAAAGAGAGGACCCAAAUAAUUACCGCCCAGUCAGUCUGACAUCAAUACCAGGGAAGAUUCUGGAGCAGAUCAUUAAGCAAACAGUCUGUGAGCACCUAGAAAGGAAUGCUGUGAUCACCAAUAGUCAGCAUGGAUUUCUGAAAAAUAAGUCAUGUCAGACUAACCUGAUCUCGUUUUUGACAGAAUUACAAGCCUGGUAGAUGAAGGGAACGCAGUGGAUGUAGCCUACCUUGAUUUCAGCAAGGCAUUUGACAAGGUGCCCCAUGAUAUUCUUGUAAAGAAGCUGGUAAAAUGCGGUCUUGACUAUGCUACCACUCAGUGGAUUUGUAACUGGCUGACUGACCGAACCCAAAGGGUGCUCAUCAAUGGUUCCUCUUCAUCCUGGAGAAGAGUGACUAGUGGGGUGCCACAGGGUUCUGUCUUGUGCCCGGUCUUAUUCAACAUCUUUAUCAACGACUUGGAUGAUGGACUCAAGGGCAUCCUGAUCAAAUUUGCAGAUGACACCAAACUGGGAGGGGUGGCUAACACCCCAGAGGACAGGAUCACACUUCAAAACGACCUUGACAGAUUAGAGAACUGGGCCAAAACAAACAAGAUGAAUUUUAACAGGGAGAAAUGUAAAGUAUUGCACUUGGGCAAAAAAAAUGAGAGGCACAAAUACAAGAUGGGGGACACCUUGCUUGAGAGCAGUACAUGUGAAGAGGAUCUAGGAGUCUUGGUUGACCACAAACUUGACAUGAGCCAACAGUGUGACGCGGCAGCUAAAAAAGCCAAUGCAAUUCUGGGCUGCAUCAAUAGGAGUAUAGCAUCUAGAUCAAGGGAAGUAAUAGUGCCACUGUAUUCUGCUCUGGUCAGACCUCACCUGGAGUACUGUGUCCAGUUCUGGGCACCACAGUUCAAGAAGGACACUGACAAACUGGAACGUGUCCAGAGGAGGGCAACCAAAAUGGGCAAAGGCCUGGAAACGAUGCCUUAUGAGGAACGGCUAAGGGAGCUGGGCAUGUUUAGCCUGGAGAAGAGGAGGUUAAGGGGUGAUAUGAUAGCCAUGUUCAAAUAUAUAAAAGGAUGUCACAUAGAGGAGGGAGAAAGGUUGUUUUCUGCUGCUCCAGAGAAGCGGACACGGAGCAAUGGAUCCAAACUACAAGAAAGAAGAUUCCACCUAAACAUUAGGAAGCACUUCCUGACAGUAAGAGCUGUUCGACAGUGGAAUUUGCUGCCAAGGAGUGUGGUGGAGUCUCCUUCUUUGGAGGUCUUUAAGCAGAGGCUUGACAACCAUAUGUCAGGAGUGCUCUGAUGGUGUUUCCUGCUUGGCAGGGGGUUGGACUCGAUGGCCCUUGUGGUCUCUUCCAACUCUAUGAUUCUAAGACCAGUUUGAACUGGUCUUGGCCAGUUUCAACCGGUCUAGGCUGGUUUGAAAUGGCCCAAGUCAGUUUGAGCAGUUCCAAGUGGGUUGGAAGAGGCCCAUACAGGUUGGAGCAGGUCCAGGCCAGUUGGAGCAGGUGCAGGUCAAAUGAAACUGGCCCAAGCUGGUUAGAACAGGUCCAGGCCGGUUUGAACAGGACUAUGUCACCUGGAACCAGCCCAGCCCAGUCGGAACCAGUUCAUACAAGUUGGGUCCCGUCCAAGCCGGUUGGAACCAGCCCAAACCAGUUGGAAAAGGUUCAAGCGGGUUGCAACUUGCCCAGAGCAGUUUGAACUGGCCCAGACUGGUUGGAACUGGCCCAGACUGGUUUCAACAGGUCUAGGCUGGUUUGAACCGGUCAAAGCCCAUUUGUGCCGAUCCAAGCUGGUUUCAACUGGUCUAGGCCGGUUUUUGAAGCGAUCUAGGCCGGUUUGUGUCGGUCCAAGCCAGUUGGAACCUGUUGAUACCAGUUUGAACCGGUGGAGGCCGGUUGGUGCCGGUCCAAGCCGGUUUGAAUCUGCAAGGGGGUACCGAGUACAGACCCAUCCAUCGGGGUUUGGCUCUGCUGGUGGCACCUCCCCCAUUAGGUUUCGCUCUGCAGUGGCAUCUAUUCUCCUUCUUUCCUCAGCAGUGAAGAGGGUCAUUAAAAGAUGCCUGUAAUCUUGCCACGUGGGCAGAUGGGUUACUAUGAUUGAGGCCAUUAGGUCCUGCAUAGCUUAAGGCUUUUCAGAAAAAGGCAGGGUAUGGGUUUUCCAGCUUAGCAGGUCAGUAGUAGUGAAUGGCACAUAUUGCAUGGUAACAGAAUGUGUGGGCCAUGCACCGGUGGGUCGGCCCUGAUCAUCUGUGGGCCCGGGCUCUUGGGGUCCCAAAACCGCUCUCAAAAGGAACAUCAGGGCUUGGCCCCCCUUCUUGUUACGAAGGUAAUGUCCUCCUUUAGAUGGAGGUGGCAUGGGGGGCCCCUGUUGCAUCACUUUCCUUCAUCUUUAUUACUAACUUCUUUCCAGUAUCACUUCUUGCAUCCACAACUGCCCACAGGCCUGACUUUCUCUCAGUGGCUGGAGUGCCUACGGGGUUGCUGAUGUCACCCCGGGUUGGAGUUGUGGCCACUUCUCCAGGUUUGGCUCCUCCCACAGCUCCCAGGGCCUCCAAUGCUGAAGUGCCUAUAAUCUCUUUUUCCUGGGGGGCUUGGACUUGGGCAAUUUGGGCUUGAUUUCGUACCAGCACUGGGGCUGGCAAGGAGGGCACAUCCGGGAUGCUAGAUGGAACUUGUAAUAAUUGGACUGCAGUGGGUGGCUGGACUGGAGGUGAUGGCACAAUCCUGGCCGAAGGGGCAUAUGGAGGCGGAAGGAGAAAACCCUCCUCUUCUGGGUGGUCCUGGUAUAUCUUCUUAGCAGGGGCUGGAGGCUUGGGUUUAUCUAUGUUUUUCCGGGCCUCCUGCUUCACUGCUAAAAUCUGGCAGGUGUCGCCCUUGCACUUCUUCAUCCAUGGAGGAUUUUCCAUGCAAGCAUUAUACCACUGAUCAAUAUAGGGAAAUUGAUCUGGGUGGCCUCCUGGGUCCCUAGUUACUGAGACUCAAACUAGGAGGCUCAAUUCCACAUCAAAACUACCUUCCGAAGGCCAUUUUGGAAAGCCACUUCCGACCUCGGCUGGCUCCUAGCCCCACGCGAUCUGGGGAAUCCUCGGCCGUGUCAUCCCUGGGCCAGCUUUCCUAUCCAAGGGAAAGUUCGGUUAGCGAUGCAAUACCACAGGGAAAUACCACAAGGGAAAGUUCGGUUAGCGAUGCAAUCCAUUGAUCAAGCGGUAAAGCUUAUUCAGAGAUUCAGCAGGGGAGCCCUGUUAGCUAAGUGUGACAUCGAGUCUGCCUUUCGUCUUCUUCCAGUUCACCCGGAUGACUUCCGUUGGCUGGGUUUUAAAUUUGAAGGGGCGUAUUUUAUAGAUAAAGCCAUGCCCAUGGGAUGCUCAGUAGCAUGUGCAGUCUUUGAGACCUUUAGCACAUUUCUGGACUGGGCUCUUCGCUUUAAAACUGGUUCCAAAGGGGUCUCCCAGCACUGAUGGUAGAAGACCCAUAACCUUUGAAAUCCUAUGUCAAAUCCAUAAAAAACUAAGGGCCAUUUGUUGGUCAAAGUAUGAAGCACGCCUAUUUUCAGCAGCUUACUCCAUCGCCUUUUUUGGCGCUUUGCACAUAGGCGAGGUGGUUUGCGACGGCCAGCCAGAUUCUGUUGCACGUGGGAUCCUCUUAAAGGAUGUGACAUUAUCUCACUCAGAUCUAGUUCUCCAUAUCCGGAACUCAAAAACUGAUCAGCUAGGCAAAAGGGCCCUAAUUCGGCUUAUAGCAACUCAAAAGAAAGGGCCAUGUCCAGUAAAGGAUGCAAGACGAUUUAUAUAUUUGAGACCAAAUACCCCUAGACCAUAUUUCAUAUAUGCAGAUGGCUCCUGCCUUACAAGACAUCAGUUUACACGCGUUAUGUGUAAGGCAAUUGCUGCUUGCGGUUUUCCCCCAGCUGAAUUUGUGGCCCACUCAUUUCGGAUCGGAGCAGCCACUACAGCAGUACACUUAGGCCUUCUGGCUGAAAGGAUAAAGGAUCUGGGUCAAUGGAAGUUAGGUGCUUUUAAAGGGUGCAUUUGGAGGCCUUUAUGACUGUUUUCAUCACCCCUGACCCCUCCUUGUUAUGCUCUUUUCCUUUUAGGUGACGUAGUUGUGCGCAUUUGGAUCAUAGGCCAUAGUAACGUCCACUGGGCCAGAAACCGUGCUGUCAGUCGGGGCCAGGGGUGCGGGUUAGAUCUGCCAAAAAAUGUUGAAAUCUCCUGGAUCACUCGCCGUGGAAUGCGUUGGGCGGAAUUUCUGCCAGCAAUAAAAGCUACAGCUGCCGUGAAAGGCCCACCGGAUGCCCUUGUCAUUCAGCUG